rnacentral:rRNA from 1 species
AGCAGAUGAUUGGGAGUAAAGUGUGCGUAGGUGGUUGUUUAAGUCUGUCGUGAAAGCCCUGGGCUCAACCUGGGAAUUGCGAUGGAAACUGGGCGACUAGAGUGUGGCAGAGGGUAGUGGAAUUCCUGGUGUAGCAGUGAAAUGCGUAGAGAUCAGGAGGAACAUCCGUGGCGAAGGCGACUGCCUGGGCCAACACUGACACUGAGGCACGAAAGCGUGGGGAGCAAACAGAUUAGAUACCCUGGUAGUCCACGCCCUAAACGAUGCGAACUGGAUGUUGGGUGCAAUUUGGCACGCAGUAUCGAAGCUAACGCGUUAAGUUCGCCGCCUGGGGAGUACGGUCGCAAGACUGAAACUAAAAAAUUGACG